rnacentral:rRNA from 1 species
UACGUAGGGGGCUAGCGUUGUCCGGAAUCAUUGGGCGUAAAGCGCGCGUAGGCGGCCAGAUAAGUCCGGUGUGAAAGCCACAGGCUCAACCUGUGAAUGCCGCUGGAAACUGUCUGGCUAGAGUCCGGGAGGGGCGAGUGGAAUUCCUGGUGUAGCGGUGAAAUGCGCAGAUAUCAGGAGGAACAGCCAAUAGGCGAAGGCAGCUGACGGCUAGGAACGGAACUGACGCGUGAGGCGACGAAAGGCGU